CGGAUUAGCGGCGGACGGGUGAGUAACACGUGAGUAACCUGCCUUAGACAUUGGGAUAGCCUCGGGAAACCGGGAUUAAUACCAAAUAAAAUCAUAAUGACACAUGUCAUAACGAUCAAGACUCCGGUGGUCUAAGAUGGACUCGCGUCCCAUUAGCUAGUUGGUAGAGUAAAAGCCUACCGAGGCGACGAUGGGUAGCCGGCCUGAGAGGGUGAACGGCCACAUUGGAACUGAGAAACGGUCCAA
rnacentral:rRNA from 1 species